rnacentral:rRNA from 1 species
GACGAACGCUGGCGGCGUGCUUAACACAUGCAAGUCGAACGGAAAGGCCCUGCUUGCAGGGUGCUCGAGUGGCGAACGGGUGAGUAACCCGUGGGUGAUCUGCCCCUUACUUUGGGAUAAGCCUGGGAAACUGGGUCUAAUACUGGAUAGGACCAUGCUGUAGGCGGUGUGGUGGAAAGAUUAGUUUCGGUAAGGGAUGAGCUCGCGGCCUAUCAGCUUGUUGGUGGGGUAAUGGCCUACCAAGGCGUCGACGGGUAGCCGGCCUGAGAGGGUGGACGGCCACAUUGGGACUGAGAUACGGCCCAGACUCCUACGGGAGGCAGCAGUGGGGAAUAUUGGACAAUGGGAGCAAGCCUGAUGCAGCGACGCCGCGUGGGGGAUGACGGCCUUCGGGUUGUAAACUCCUUUCAGCCAUGACGAAGCCCUUGUGGUGACGGUAGUGGUAGAAGAAGCACCGGCUAACUACGUG